AACGUAGGGGGCAAGCGUUGCCCGGAUUCACUGGGCGUAAAGCGGGUGUAGGCGGUCCUUUAAGUCAGGUGUGAAAUCUUGCGGCUCAACCGCGGAACUGCAUCUGAUACUGGGGGACUUGAGGACGGUAGAGGUCGGGUGGAAUCCCCUGUGUACCUGGUGAAAUGGGCAGGAUAAUGAGGGGGGAACACCAGUGGGGCAG
rnacentral:rRNA from 1 species